rnacentral:rRNA from 1 species
UGGGGAAUAUUGCACAAUGGGCGCAAGCCUGAUGCAGCCAUGCCGCGUGUGUGAAGAAGGCCUUCGGGUUGUAAAGCACUUUCAGUCGUGAGGAAGGUGGUAGUGUUAAUAGCACUAUCAUUUGACGUUAGCGACAGAAGAAGCACCGGCUAACUCCGUGCCAGCAGCCGCGGUAAUACGGAGGGUGCGAGCGUUAAUCGGAAUUACUGGGCGUAAAGCGCAUGCAGGUGGUUUGUUAAGUCAGAUGUGAAAGCCCGGGGCUCAACCUCGGAAUAGCAUUUGAAACUGGCAGACUAGAGUACUGUAGAGGGGGGUAGAAUUUCAGGUGUAGCGGUGAAAUGCGUAGAGAUCUGAAGGAAUACCGGUGGCGAAGGCGGCCCCCUGGACAGAUACUGACACUCAGAUGCGAAAGCGUGGGGAGCAAAC